AUAAAAUAAGAAUAAAAAAUAUUAUUGAAAAAAGAUUAAGAGUUUUGUAGAAUAUGAAAAUACGAGAAUGGACUUACCACCACCAUCGACUAGACAAAGAAAUAGGAACACAAAAAGGAUCACUGUAUAAAAAACCUUGAGAGUUUUAGCCAUUUUUUACUCUACCUUUGCAUGAAACAAAUACAAAAUUGUUUGAUCACUUUAUAUUGUGAAAAACCUCAUGCUAUGCUUAUUUCAGUUGAAUAGUUUUUAGUACAACGAAGGAUCAAAUUUGUCACUUUAAUUCAUGUAAUCGAUUACUUGACCUUAGAGUAUAUCUUUAAUUUUUUUAUUUCUUAUCUAUUCUUUAAUAUUAGAAUAUGGUUCAAAACCAACAUUUUGCUUUAAUUAAAUAGCUAUUAGAAUAUAUAUUCAAUUAAAAAAAAACAUUUCUAUAUUAAAUUUUUUAUUAAAUGUCU
rnacentral:lncRNA from 1 species